GUUGUUCUAUUGCAGUUUGUGUUUUUGGAUAUCUUGCAUAUAUGUUUUUAAGCUAAAAGCUCUUAAUCAUUGUUUUUCCCUAUUUGCAGCCGCUAUUUCAGUAAACCAUUUGAUGUGCUAAAGAAUAAUAUGUAGAGAAGUCAUAUGUGUGAUGGGAAAAAAAAUAGGCCAAUGAAGACUGCAAUGCUUCGUCUGCUCAAACCACAACCUCGGGGGAACCAGGAACUGAUUUUAGGCAGCCCGAUGGUCGUGGACCAUGAAAGAAGCUCAACCACGGGAUUACGAAGUUCAUGCCGCUCAAGAAGACCUUUGCGCUGCAAUCCAAGUUAGAACGGCGCAAUGGAGCAUUUGG